UAAUACAGAGGUGGCAAGCGUUGUUCGGAAUUACUGGGCGUAAAGGGCUCGUAGGUGGCCAACUAAGUCAGACGUGAAAUCCCUCGGCUUAACCGGGGAACUGCGUCUGAUACUGGAUGGCUUGAGUUCGGGAGAGGGAUGCGGAAUUCCAGGUGUAGCGGUGAAAUGCGUAGAUAUCUGGAGGAACACCGGUGGCGAAGGCGGCAUCCUGGACCGACACUGACACUGAGGAGCGAAAGCCAGGGGAGCAAACGGGAUUAGAUACCCCGGUAGUCCUGGCCCUAAACGAUGAAUGCUUGGUGUGGCGGGUAUCGAUCCCUGCCGUGCCGAAGCUAACGCAUUAAGCAUUCCGCCUGGGGAGUACGGUCGCAAGGCUG
rnacentral:rRNA from 1 species